UAGGAAAUACUAAGGAUAAGAAAGACAACUCACAGCCCAACAGGUUUUACUGAACAACUUGGGAAGGGCAACCAAUCUUCAGCCCGGCUGGAGAAGAAAUAGUGCACGAUUUCCUUACAGCUAAGGUCUCAUUUUAUUAGACGCCCCGACUUCCCCCAUGUGUGCCUGUGGGGCGCAGACACCAGAGUACAGCCACCGGACAAGAAGGUGAGGAUUCUAGCACAGCACCCGCCUGGCUCCUGGUGAGCCCCCUCCACCGCCCCCACCGUCCCACCGUC